UGCUAGAAAGAGAAUUAAACGACACUUCGAGUUGACUUUAAGUCUGUCGGGGCUCCAUACAUGACAGUCAAAAAAUCAGUGAGGGAGAGUCUCCACCAUAUAUGAGAGGAGAAGAAUGCCGACUGUUGUCGUGGGGGUCGCUUCUCCUUCUUCUCUUUGUGCUAGACCUUCGUUAUGCACUAGGGGAAGAAGGAGUAGCAACCAUCACCGAUGGUCGCAAUAUCAGAGAGGGAGUGCCCAUCAUAUACGUGAGAUGAGAUUUUAGGAAGGAAGACUCGACAGACCUAAAGUCAACCCGUUGCAUAUUGAGUAUAGUGAUCUGUGUGUUGAGUUUCCUGGUAGUUGACUUCGAUUGAUUUUCAAUUGAUGUUUCCACUAUGAACAUAGGAAAUGUCUGAAGACGAAAGGGAAUUCGUUAUGUGCGAAUAUUGCGAAGACGAGCGCGGCAUGUGCGACAGGCCUCACCUAGUUGGUGGUAGGCGCUUCAGCAUCGUGCUGGAUGAGAACUUCGAAGUGGAUACAGUAAGUCACAAUGACAAGUCUUUUUUCUUAAUUAAGCCUGAUUUCUGCUUCUUUUGCUUCAACUUAUAAUUUUAAUUUUUUACUAUUCUACUAGCGUAUCCCCUGCCAUGCAAGAAUUUAUGUCUUGGAUAAGAUUGGUUUCAGUACUAUGGAAAGUAUGGAGGUAAAGAGAGUUCACUUGAGGACCGAGCAUGGUUAUACUUUUGUCGUAAAAUUAUACAAUGCAGACACCAACUCCUAUUUUGAAUGCAAAAAUUGGAGAGCACUAUGCAAGGCUUAUGCAUUUUAGCCUAAUAUGCUUAUCUCCUUUGAUAUUCGUCCGGAAGAUGAAAUUGAAGGUAAUAUCGACAUCUGGGUCGAUGUGCAGACGCCUCCAGUUCUACCAUUAUCUUAUUUCCAUUCAAGCAAACAUGUCCGGCACUUGGUAGACAACACCUACUACUAUCCCGGGACUGAACUAAACUGGGAGGAGAUAGGUCAUUAUGUUUCAUGGCUUGAGGAUCUUGAUACUGUCAAGACAGGUUAUUUUCCUGGACUUUGAGACAUUAGUACUCAAAACGUGCGACCACUAGUGUGUGUAUUGAACUACGGUCACAUCUAUUUAGGAAAGAUGGGACUCCCGAUGAGUGUUGUGCCUCGUUGGAUCGAGCCUAAAGGUCGCAUGACAAUGGUUAGCUUACGGCCAAAAUAUCCUGCAUUGCACAUGAGUGCAUUCAUCAUUUCUCGAAGCGAGCAAGUCUUAAUAGUCAAAGAUUGGAGCAAAAUUGUGAAGGAUCACAGAAGAGAAGUACUAGGGGGCAGCAAUCAGAAGCGCAUCCCACAAUUAGGAGACAGGUUCAUCUGCAUGCUCCAAUAUGAUGAAG